rnacentral:rRNA from 1 species
GAUGAACGCUGGCGGCGUGCCUAAUACAUGCAAGUCGAGCGAACAGACGAGGAGCUUGCUCCUCUGACGUUAGCGGCGGACGGGUGAGUAACACGUGGAUAACCUACCUAUAAGACUGGGAUAACUUCGGGAAACCGGAGCUAAUACCGGAUAAUAUAUUGAACCGCAUGGUUCAAUAGUGAAAGACGGUUUUGCUGUCACUUAUAGAUGGAUCCGCGCCGCAUUAGCUAGUUGGUAAGGUAACGGCUUACCAAGGCGACGAUGCGUAGCCGACCUGAGAGGGUGAUCGGCCACACUGGAACUGAGACACGGUCCAGACUCCUACGGGAGGCAGCAGUAGGGAAUCUUCCGCAAAGGGCGAAAGCCUGACGGAGCAACGCCGCGUGAGUGAUGAAGGUCUUCGGAUCGUAAAACUCUGUUAUUAGUGAAGAACAAAUGUGUAAGUAACUAUGCACGUCUUGACGGUACCUAAUCAGAAAGCCACGGCUAACUACGUG